UCGCAGGCUGNAACCCGCCUGCGUGAAGUUGGAAUCGCUAGUAAUCGCGGAUCAGCAUGCCGCGGUGAAUACGUUCCCGGGUCUUGUACACACCGCCCGUCACACCAUGGGAGCCGGUAAUACCCGAAGUCAGUAGUUUAACCCUUGUGGAGGACGCUGCCGAAGGUAGGAUUGGCGACUGGGGUGAAGUCGUAACAAGGUAGC
rnacentral:rRNA from 1 species